rnacentral:rRNA from 1 species
CCCGAAGUAUCCUGAAUCUUUCGCAUUGUUAAUCAUACAAAUGCAUAUAAUAAACACAAAAAUCAAUGAUAAUUAUGCCAUUAUAUAAUUUCGAAAAAUUAACGCACUGUAUUAAUUUUAAUUUAUCAACACUUUAUCAAAUUAAUGACAUUUAUUCUAUGUUAAAAUGCAAGCAUAAUAAUUUGAAUAAACUAUAAGUCAUAUUUUAUGAUAAAUUUGUUAUAUGCUAAUAGAUUACAAUGUCCUUAUAUGGAAAAAAUGCACACUAUUAUUAUAAUAUUGUUAAAAUAUUACAACUUUAAUGAUGAAUUUUCCAUAACGGAUAUUCAGGUUCAUCGGGC